rnacentral:misc_RNA from 1 species
CAUUUGCAAGAAAUUGAGGAGCUGUGCACAGAAUUUCCCUCGACUGUAGUUUUGCUUGAUCAUGUAGCUUUCUGUAAGCCCCCAAAAAAUGAUGAAGAAAGACGAGGUUACUCAGAGCUGUUAAAGCUUUCAAGAUUCCCACAGGUAUAUGUAAAGUUUAGUGCUUUGUUCAGAGUGUCGAGAAAUCCUUAUCCAUAUGAGGACUUGCCUCAUGUUCUUCCCCAACUAGUCUCCAGUUAUGGUGCACAUCGUAUCAUGUGGGGAAGUGAUUUCCCCUACGUUGUUGCCGAAUGUGGGUAUAAAGAAGCAAGAGAAGCAGUUUCUUAUCUUGCUAAACAGGGACAUUUACCUUCUUCUGCCACGGAGUGGAUCAUGGGUAAAACAAUUAUGCAGCUGUUUGACGGAAAAUGGAGUUCUGUAGCUAAUUGAACACGAAACUUGACAACUAGCAAUAACAGGUUAGAUGAUAUUUCAAACAUGUCAUUGAACCCUUAAUUGUACUUGCGCAUAUCAAAAGCUCUACCUACGUGUUCAUGAGAAUCUAGUAACUUUUGCUCAUACACUAUGAAAAAUUCGUGCAAG